rnacentral:rRNA from 1 species
GCAAGUCGAGGGGCAGCAUUUCAGUUUGCUUGCAAACUGGAGAUGGCGACCGGCGCACGGGUGAGUAACACGUAUCCAACCUGCCGAUAACUCGGGGAUAGCCUUUCGAAAGAAAGAUUAAUACCCGAUGGUAUAAUCAGACCGCAUGGUCUUGUUAUUAAAGAAUUUCGGUUAUCGAUGGGGAUGCGUUCCAUUAGGCAGUUGGUGAGGUAACGGCUCACCAAACCUUCGAUGGAUAGGGGUUCUGAGAGGAAGGUCCCCCACAUUGGAACUGAGACACGGUCCAAACUCCUACGGGAGGCAGCAGUGAGGAAUAUUGGUCAAUGGGCGCAGGCCUGAACCAGCCAAGUAGCGUGAAGGAUGACUGCCCUAUGGGUUGUAAACUUCUUUUAUAUGGGAAUAAAGUUUUCCACGUGUGGAAUUUUGUAUGUACCAUAUGAAUAAGGAUCGGCUAACUCCGUGCCAGCAGCCGCGGUAAUACGGAGGAUCCGAGCGUUAUCCGGAUUUAUUGGGUUUAAAGGGAGCGUAGGUGGACAGUUAAGUCAGUUGUGAAAGUUUGCGGCUCAACCGUAAAAUUGCAGUUGAUACUGGCUGUCUUGAGUACAGUAGAGGUGGGCGGAAUUCGUGGUGUAGCGGUGAAAUGCUUAGAUAUCACGAAGAACUCCGAUUGCGAAGGCAGCUCACUGGACUGCAACUGACACUGAUGCUCGAAAGUGUGGGUAUCAAACAGGAUUAGAUACCCUGGUAGUCCACGCCGUAAACGAUGUCAACUUGGAGUCUGUGCCAUUU